AAGAUGUACCGGAAACUGCUCCGGUUCUGUCCGUCUUGUCCCCUUUCAAGGGCAAUGGACCGGAUAUUUGUCUGGCCGCCGGGUUCUUUCCUCAAGAAAAGAGUAUGACUUUGACUGUGGAAGGUAACAAAACUGUGAGUCUUACCUCCAGCAAUGCACCUUUGUUCAGCACGACCAAAACCUAUUAUUAUGCUGGAUUCAGUGAUAAUAAAAAAAUCAAUGAAUGCAAAAUGGAUGGACAAACUGCAGACAAAACUUCGGACACUCCUGAAACGACAGGUGUUCCAAAAAUGAACUUCAUGAAUCUUCUUGUGACAGGUCUGAGAAUUCUGCUUGCUAAAUGUGUUGCAGUUAAUGUAAUGAUGACUGUAAAGGCAUUCGUAUUUUAAAAGUUCAAUUCAGCCAAAUCAUCUGAAUAAUCUCAAUUAUUAAGUGUAACUUGAUCGAACCCUGACAAACAAACAAAUGCGGUUAUACAGUCAGCCACAGGGUCAGUAUUAAUCUAUAUUCUGUCUAAUAAUGUUACAUGGAAUGAAAAAUACAAAUUGUUAGUAAUGUCUUUCAAAUAUACAGAAUAUCAACAAACAUUGCAAACCUUUUUGACAUUUAGAAACAUUUCUGAAUUCAGCGGUAUAAUGUGUGUAUUGCUUUGCAUUGGUGUGUGUAUUUUCAGCUUUAGUUGCAAAUAAGUGCAUGUUAAUUUUUUUAUAUACUUUUACAUUUUUUACUUUUCUUUCCUUCUUUUUUUUACAUAACAGUAUUGCAUUGUUUAAGACUUUUACAUUGUCUAAUUGUGUAACGGAUAACUAUUUGACUUUACUAUUGAGGCACUGAUCUUUGCAUGUAAUAUGAUUUUUCAAAAAUAUAUUAAAUAAUAAAAUGUCUUGAUAAAAGAGAAGUUUCA
ensembl:lncRNA